GGGAUAGGUCUAAACGCAGCAUGACGAAUCAGACUGCAACAACUAGGCUACCAAGCUAGCUCUUAAUUAUUGCAAAGUUGUUGUUUUUCGCACAUCAAGGAUCAUCACACAUGUCUUAGGACAAAAUAAAUAUGUGUGCCAAUUAAUUUGACUAGGCAGGGGGUAAAGGAGCAAGGGUUGUCGCUAUGGCCGUCGCCGCUAGCAUGUCUUGCGAAGAAGAUGGCGGGUUGUCGCAGUGACUCUUGCACACAUCCAUAGUUCUGUAGCAGCGGUCAUUUAACAGGCAGCAGUAGCAGUGCGUGUCUGUGCACAGCUUCUCCUUGCCGCACAGCCCGUUCGGCAGAUCGAUCUUCUCGUCAUCCACACCGACCGCGAUGGUUCGGCCUGUGGAGUGACAUGCAUAUGAUGAAACAAUUGUUUCGGAUUUGGUAACAAUCAAGAAACAUAUCUGAGACAAGAAACAAAAUGAGAAGUCAAAAACAAAAAGAGAAAAGUGUAAGAAUUACACGUGCAUGAUAUAAUUAACUUGUUGAACUAGGGUUAAAGGAGCUAGUAUCGCAAAGAUAAACCGGUGAGAGAAAUAAUAUCUCUAUUGCAUACCUAUUCGUAGAUGCAUCGUGUGAUAGUAGCAGAGAAAAACUACAUGUGCGUAUCCUAACAUUUUGGGCUUGAAAGACAAGGUUGCAUCGUAAAGAAAACUCUUGAGAAAUAUAUAAAUAUGUUGCAUACUAUACUUGCAGUGUGCGACGGUGGCAGAGGACAAGAGGUG
rnacentral:lncRNA from 1 species